UACGUAGGGUGCAAGCGUUGUCCGGAAUUAUUGGGCGUAAAGAGCUCGUAGGCGGUCUGUCACGUCUGCUGUGAAAACUCGGGGCUUAACUCCGGGCCUGCAGUGGGUACGGGCAGACUAGAGUGCGGUAGGGGAGACUGGAAUUCCUGGUGUAGCGGUGAAAUGCGCAGAUAUCAGGAGGAACACCGGUGGCGAAGGCGGGUCUCUGGGCCGUAACUGACGCUGAGGAGCGAAAGCGUGGGGAGCGAACAGG
rnacentral:rRNA from 1 species